rnacentral:rRNA from 1 species
GAUGAACGCUGACAGAAUGCUUAACGCAUGCAAGUCAACUUGAAUUUGGGUUUUUAACUUAGGUUUGGGUGGCGGACGGGUGAGUAACGCGUAAAGAACUUGCCUCACAGCUAGGGACAACAUUUGGAAACGAAUGCUAAUACCUAAUAUUAUGAUAAUAGGGCAUCCUAUAAUUAUGAAAGCUAUAAGCGCUGUGAGAGAGCUUUGCGUCCCAUUAGCUAGUUGGAGAGGUAACGGCUCACCAAGGCGAUGAUGGGUAGCCGGCCUGAGAGGGUGAUCGGCCACAAGGGGACUGAGACACGGCCCUUACUCCUACGGGAGGCAGCAGUGGGGAAUAUUGGACAAUGGACCGAGAGUCUGAUCCAGCAAUUCUGUGUGCACGAUGAAGUUUUUCGGAAUGUAAAGUGCUUUCAGUUGGGAAGAAACAAAUGACGGUACCAACAGAAGAAGUGACGGCUAAAUACGUG